rnacentral:rRNA from 1 species
AUAUUGGACAAUGGGCGCAAGCCUGAUCCAGCCAUGCCGCGUGAGUGAAGAAGGCCUUAGGGUUGUAAAGCUCUUUCGGCGGGGACGAUGAUGACGGUACCCGCAGAAGAAGCCCCGGCUAACUUCGUGCCAGCAGCCGCGGUAAUACGAAGGGGGCAAGCGUUGUUCGGAUUUACUGGGCGUAAAGGGCGCGUAGGCGGAGAUGCAAGUCAGAGGUGAAAGCCCUGGGCUCAACCCGGGAAUUGCCUUUGAGACUGUGUUUCUUGAGUAUGGGAGAGGGUGGCGGAAUACCCAGUGUAGAGGUGAAAUUCGUAGAUAUUGGGUAGAACACCAGUGGCGAAGGCGGCCACCUGGCCCAUAACUGACGCUGAGGCGCGAAAGCGUGGGGAGCAAACAGG